UACGUAGGUGACAAGCGUUGUCCGGAUUUACUGGGCGUAAAGAGCGCGCAGGCGGUCGGUCAAGUCGGGUGUGAAAGCCCCCGGCUCAACUGGGGAGGGUCAUUCGAUACUGAUCGACUCGAAGGCAGGAGAGGAUAGUGGAAUUCCCGGUGUAGUGGUGAAAUGCGUAGAUAUCGGGAGGAACACCAGUGGCGAAGGCGGCAUUCUGGACUGCAACUGACGCUGAAGAACGAAAGCCAGGGGAGCAAACGGG
rnacentral:rRNA from 1 species